rnacentral:rRNA from 1 species
AGAGUUUGAUCCUGGCUCAGGACGAANGCUGGCGGCGUGCCUAACACAUGCAAGUCGAGCGGGCGCUUUUAAUAGUUUACUAUUAAAGGCGUUAGCGGCGGACGGGUGAGUAACGCGUGAGCAAUCUGCCUUGUACAGGGGGAUAACAGCUGGAAACAGCUGCUAAUACCGCAUAAGACCACAGCACCACAUGGUGCAGAGGUCAAAGGAGUCAAAUCCGGUACUAGAUGAGCUCGCGUCCCAUUAGCUAGUUGGUGAGGUAAAGGCCCACCAAGGCAUCGAUGGGUAGCCGACCUGAGAGGGUGAUCGGCCACACUGGUACUGAGACACGGCCCAGACUCCUACGGGAGGCAGCAGUGGGGAAUAUUGCGCAAUGGGGGAAACCCUGACGCAGCAACGCCGCGUGAGUGAAGAAGGCUUUCGGGUCGUAAAACUCUGUCUUUGGGGAAGAAAAAAAUGACGGUACCCAAGGAGGAAGCCCCGGCUAACUACGUGCCAGCCGCCGCGGUAAUUC